GCAUGCAAUUAUUGACAAGUUUGCAGAGAGAGGGUUUCGUUCUCUUGCUGUUGCUAGACAGGAAGUUCCUGAGAAAACUAAAGAAAGCCCUGGUGCUCCUUGGCAGUUUGUUGGUUUGUUGUCACUGUCUGACCCACCUAGGCAUGACAGUGCUGAAACUAUUCGGAGAGCUCUUCAUCUUGGUGUCAAUGU